rnacentral:rRNA from 1 species
AGCAGCCGCGGUAAUUCCAGCUCCAAUAGCGUAUAUUAAAGUUGUUGCAGUUAAAAAGCUCGUAGUUGAAUUUCGGGAUUCUAUCGUUGGUCGGGCUAUUGUCUGUACUGGCGUGUAGAAUUUCUACCUUCUGGGGAACUAUCAUGUUAUUAAUUUAGCGUGGUAGGAAACCAGGACCUUUACCUUGAAAAAUUAGAGUGUUCAAAGCAGGCUUAUGUCUGAAUACAUUAGCAUGGAAUAAUAAAAUAGGACGGUGGUCCUGUUUUGUUGGUUUCUGAAUCACCGUAAUGAUUAAUAGGGAUAGUUGAGGGCAUUAGUAUUCAAUUGUCAGAGGUGAAAUUCUUGGAUUUAUUGAAGACUAACUACUGCGAAAGCAUUUGCCAAGGAUGUUUUCAUUAAUCAAGAACGAAAGUUAGGGGAUCGAAGACGAUCAGAUACCGUCGUAGUCUUAACCAUAAACUAUGCCGACUAGGGAUCGGACGAUGUUAACUUUUCUUGACUCGUUCGGCGCCUUACGGGA